rfam:Lupinus angustifolius cultivar Tanjil contig_1835, whole genome shotgun sequence.
AGGUGCGAUGAAACCAACACCCAUGCGCUGAAUCCCAUUUGAACUCCGCAGUCAAGCGUGCUUGGACGAGAGUAGUACUAGGAUGGGUGACCUCGUUGGAAGUCCUCGUGUUUCUUCUC